rnacentral:rRNA from 1 species
ACGGUGCUAACAUGCAGUCGAACGAUGAAGCCUUUCGUGGUGCACUGUUGGCGAACGGGUGAGUAACACGUGGGCAAUCUGCCCUUCACUCUGGGACAAGCCCUGGAAACGGGGUCUAAUACCGGAUAACACUCUGUCCCGCAUGGGACGGGGUUAAAAGCUCCGGCGGUGAAGGAUGAGCCCGCGGCCUAUCAGCUUGUUGGUGGGGUAAUGGCCUACCAAGGCGACGACGAGUAGCCGUCCUGAGAGGGCGACCGGCCACACUGGGACUGAUACACGGCGCAGACUCCUACGGGACGCAGCAGUGGGGAAUAUUGCACAAUGGGCGAAAGCCUGAUGCAGCGACGCCGCGUGAGGGAUGACGGCCUUCGGGUUGUAAACCUCUUUCAGCAGGGAAGAAGCGAGAGUGACGGUACCUGCAGAAGAAGCGCCGGCUAA